UACGUAGGGCGCGAGCGUUAAUCGGAAUUACUGGGCGUAAAGCGUGCGCAGGCGGUUAUGUAAGACAGGUGUGAAAUCCCCGGGCUUAACCUGGGAACUGCAUCUAAGACUGCUGAACUGGAGUGCGGUAGAGGGUAGUGGAAUUUCCGGUGUAGCGGUGAAAUGCGUAGAUAUCGGAAGGAACACCAGUGGCGAAGGCGGCUACCUGGACUGACACUGACACUGAGGCGCGAGAGCGUGGGGAGCAAACAGG
rnacentral:rRNA from 1 species